AGCGUGUUCGCGUAUAUCAAGCGGUAGUUGGUAUUCCGGCACGAAGGGAGGAAGAAGUUUUCAUGAGGCGGAACGGGCAAACGAAAUUGGUGAUUCUUUGUAAGCGAUGUUGCGUUUCGGAAGACGGUAGACGAUUAUGAAGCGCACGGAAAAAAUCGGAUCGCCCCUUCGACGCCUGGAACUAUCUCGCACGACCGCUUUGAUUUACGGGUCAGAUCAGUGGCGCGUUUCGCUGCGUACGCGUCGAUCCAUAAUUAUUGCCGUAUUGUAAAGCACUUAGCCUUUAUGACUACACUGCAGUGCAUAGCCAUUCGAAUUUUUAAAAGCCAGAAACACUCGUGUACAGCCGUUUGUUCCGGUAAAUAAUAGUGCAUGUGGCAAUAAAUAAACGCGCGGGGGCGCUGCUGCUGUUGCUCACCGUAGUAUAUGCAAUACAAGAGCCGCCCGCUAUUGUACACAGCGAGCCGAGUUACGUGACGUCUAGUAAAAAAAGGAAAUACACGUGUGGAAUAGGAAAUGAUCUAUUAAGAGAACAGACAUUUCUGACAAUUUGCCUUAAAACGCUACGGCUUGAAACGACGUGCUAACCGUUGCGUUACAAAGAAAAAGGACAAUUCGAGUCCCUGUACAUACGUAGUUUUGGCCGCGGUUGUACUAUUUCAUCCACGGACAAAGCGCCCACUGUAUUCUCGCGAGGUUCGCACGGUAAAAUG
rnacentral:misc_RNA from 1 species